AUGAGCUUUCUGAGCUUGCAACAGGCGGCGCCGCCGCGGCGGGUCUCGGCACGGCGGGCGGCCGCUCCGAUCCGGCAGAAGCUGCUGUUCCUGAGCGGCCACAGCGACUGCGAGGAGGAGGAGGAGGACGAGGAGGAGGAAGGCGGCAGCAGCGGCAACAGCACCGGCGGGGACUCGGCUUUCCAAGAGGCGGACUCGCCGCUCUCGGCGGCUCGCACCCCUGCGCGGGGCGACCCGCCCCUGCUGGAGGAGGAGGAGGACGAGGAAAUGGAGCCGGCGGCGGCGCCGCUGCCGGACGAGGGGGACUCGUGGGAGGAGGAGGGGUUCGGCUCCUCUCCGGUCAAGUCGCCCGGAGCCUAUUUCAUGGCCGGCUCGCCCUCGCCGCCGCCCCCCAACAAGGGCCGCCGCUACUGCGGGCGCUCCCCGCCUCACCCGGCGGCCAGCGCCUACCGGGUGCGGAGCGAGGAGCCCAGCUCGCCGCUACCCGACUACCCCGGCACCCCGCCGCACAAAACCUUCCGUAAGCUGCGCCUUUUCGACACGCCGCACACCCCCAAGAGUUUGCUUUCUAAAGCACAAGGAAUAGGCUCCAGCUCAGUCAAACUUCGAGGGGGCUCUCUAUUUAUGAAUGUUGGGAAAUCAGAGAAGCAAGAAGAAGACAUUAGACAAACACCCCAUGUGAACAUUAAUCCUUUCACUCCUGAUUCCAUGUUCCUUCACAACUCCGACGGAAAAUGUCGUAGGAGGAAGAGAACCCACCGGAAUGACUCUUGUGGAGAGGACAUGGAAGCAAGUGAUGGAGAGCCUGAAGAUGAAACUCUCAGACCUGCAAAGAGGAUAACAAUAACAGAAAGUAAUAUGAAGUCACGGUAUGCAACCGAAUUUCAUGAGUUGGAGAAGAUUGGAUCUGGUGAAUUUGGUUCUGUGUUCAAAUGUGUGAAGAGGCUUGAUGGUUGUAUUUACGCAAUAAAGCGAUCCAAGAAACCUUUAGCUGGCUCAGUGGAUGAGCAAAAUGCUUUAAGAGAAGUUUAUGCACAUGCAGUUCUGGGACAGCAUUCUCACGUAGUAAGAUACUACUCUGCUUGGGCAGAAGAUGAUCAUAUGCUUAUACAGAAUGAAUAUUGCAAUGGUGGCAGUUUAGCAGAUGCCAUAAGUGAAAAUUACAGGAAUAUGCGUUAUUUUACUGAACCAGAACUGAAGGACCUCUUACUUCAGGUGGCUCGAGGCUUAAAGUACAUUCAUUCAAUGUCACUGGUACACAUGGAUAUCAAACCUAGUAACAUUUUCAUAUCUAGGACAUCAGUCCCAACUACAACUUCAGAAGAAGGUGACGAUGAUGACUGGUCAUCUGAUAGAGUCAUAUUUAAAAUAGGUGACCUUGGCCAUGUAACUCGAGUAUCUAGUCCACAAGUGGAGGAAGGUGAUAGCCGUUUUCUUGCAAAUGAAGUCCUGCAAGAGAACUACACUCAUUUGCCAAAAGCGGAUAUUUUUGCUCUUGCUCUGACUGUUGUCUGUGCUGCUGGGGCUGAACCACUUCCAACUAAUGGGGACCAGUGGCAUGAAAUUCGACAAGGAAAACUACCUAGACUACCACAAGUGCUUUCUCAAGAAUUGCUAGACUUACUGAAAGUUAUGAUUAAUCCUGACCCAGAGAAAAGGCCUUCAGCUGUGGCACUAGUCAAGCAUUCAGUGCUGCUUUCUGCUGCAAAAAAGAGUGCAGAGCAGCUCCGGAUAGAACUGAAUGCUGAAAAAUUCAAAAACUCACUCUUGCAGAAGGAGCUGAAGAAAGCACAGAUGGCAAAGGCUGCAGCUGAGGAGCGAGCACUGUUCACUGACAGAAUGACAACCAGAUCUACGACACAAAACAGACCAUCUCGACUCAUUGGAAAGAAAAUGAACCGCUCAGUUAGUCUUACUAUAUACUAACUAUGAAGUCUAAAAGAACUACUGAGGAUGGCUAUAGCAUCUCUGCGAGAUUGAAACCUAAGGAAUUGAAGGAUGCAUUCAAUUCCUGGUUUCUUGUCCUGUCUUUUAUCAGUGUCACUAGUUUUACAGGAAUUGCUUCUGGGUUUCUACUUGUACAAUAUGGCCAUUAGCUGUAUUUUAAGCAUUUGGGGUUACUGGACUCAGUUACGAUCUUGUCUGUAGAGGAUCCUGGAUGUUAAUCCAUAAGCCUUUCAGUUACACUGUUAGAUGUUACAUCGUCCCAGGGUUAACCACUAUAGUGGUGUGCUGCUUUGUAGUGUUACUGCAUUGUAAUAAGAAGUAAGAUCCCAAACGAACUUUCAGCGGGAGCGAGGAGGCCUUGCUUUGAUAGUUACUGGUUUGUUUGUUUGUUUGUUUUUUGUUUUUUGUUUUUUUUUUUGGAGCAGAGGGGAAUACAUUUUGAAAGACAGGCUUUAAGGCCACCUACACUCAGUGUACCUGAUGUCAGGUAGACUUUUAUUGUGAAUUUUAUUUGUAUAUUCAACUGGGAGCACUUUGUAGGCAUUGCAUAAACCACAGCUUAGAAAACUGUGGAAUUAAGUGCCAUGUGGAACUGCUGCUAUUUUUAGUUUGUUGUCCUCGCUGUAAAACUGUAGCAUUAAAACAAUCAUUAUUGUGUUAAUAGGCUUCUUGUUAAAACAAUUACGUGAAACAAAUCUAAGCUGCAUUUUAGUGAAGGCAGCAUUUUUCUCUCAAAGCUAGUGCAUUGUGAAAUAAUGCACCAAUUUAAUAUUUGGACUCUGUAUUAGUGUAGUGCAAUUGUUAAUGUCUUGGCUAUUGAUGUUUUGUAAUUCUAAUAAGGUUCUCUAAAUGUUGAUAUUCUCUUCAGUUGUUCAUUCUUGAGACUAUUGUAUAUUUUUUUAUGUUGGAGUACUUGUAAAUAAUUUUUAGUGUAACUGUUCAGGUUGUUUUUCAUUGUUCAUGUACAUAAGUUUGAUUGUACUUAAAGAAUACUGAAACUGCAGUCUGAGAUGCCAACAGUCAAAGCUGAACUAUUUGGUUUUAAAUUCCAAAACAAACAGAAUGUGACCAUCAGAACCUCUACUGGUGUUGCACCUAGGCUGACAGAUGUUGCUAAAAAACAGAACUGUUUUAAUUACUGGCUUGUCUCUUCAUUAAUUUUAGUUUAAACAAUGUUUCCCAUUUGUGCUCUAUUUGUUCUUACUAGUGUUGAAGUUGAAUAUUAAAGUUAAAAACUUGUUUAA